AACGAACGCUGGCGGCAUGCCUAACACAUGCAAGUCGAACGAGACCUUCGGGUCUGGUGGCGCACGGGUGCGUAACGCGUGGGAACCUGCACUUAGGUUCGGAAUAACUCCCCGAAAGGGGUGCUAAUACCGGAUAAUGUCUUCGGACCAAAGAUUUAUCGCCUUUGGAUGGGCCCGCGUUGGAUUAGCUAGUUGGUAGGGUAAAAGCCUACCAAGGCGACGAUCCAUAGCUGGUCUGAGAGGAUGAUCAGCCACACUGGUACUGAGACACGGCCCAGACUCCUACGGGAGGCAGCAGUGGGGAAUAUUGGACAAUGGGCGAAAGCCUGAUCCAGCAAUGCCGCGUGAGUGAUGAAGGCCUUAGGGUUGUAAAGCUCUUUUACCCGGGAUGAUAAUGACAGUACCGGGAGAAUAAGCUCCGGCUAACUCCGUG
rnacentral:rRNA from 1 species